UACGUAGGGACCGAGCGUUGUCCGGAAUCAUUGGGCGUAAAGAGCGUGUAGGCGGCCACUUAAGUCCUGCGUGAAAUCUUGCGGCUCAACCGCAAGCGGUCGUGGGAAACUGGGUGGCUAGAGUGCGGGAGAGGAGAGUGGAAUUCCUGGUGUAGCGGUGGAAUGCGCAGAGAUCGGGAGGAACACCCGUAGCGAAGGCGGCGCUCUGGGCCGGUACUGACGCUGAGGAGCGAAAGCGUGGGGAGCAAACAGG
rnacentral:rRNA from 1 species